UCCCCAAAUUGCUCUGAAAAUAUACACAGGAUCACCUGGCCAGCCAACAAGCCAAGAUUGGGAAGUAAGGUCAAUUUCUGGACUACUGGGCUUUCAGGAAGGAUCUGAAGGGCACGUGAAGCAGAGAAAGGUAGCUCCUUUCCAGGGAUACAGACUCCAGUCUGAAAGUCAUGAAGCAUAUUUCAAGAUGACCAUUUGGAAACAACAUUUGGAGGAACAUUUGGGUUGCAUCCUCUAACUAAAUUUCCAAGCUGUUGGUAACGGACUAAGGAAAAUGUGGUCUGCACUGAAUACUAAAGAGCUGCAAAUG